rnacentral:lncRNA from 1 species
UUCGUUUUAUUCUGAAAAAUCAUGCUAUCAACUCAACUUAAAAAUAUGUAACUUCAAAAUUCAAUAAAUAUUAUUUCUGAAAAAUAAGUUUUAUUUCCACUCACUACUCUAUGGAUAAAAAUCUUGGCUAAAUUGACGGGCAUCUCCAAACUUCCACUUCAAUACCUGAAAUAAUAGUAUAAUAACUCAAAUUAAAAUAUGACAAUUAAACUAAUGCAAAGUCACCACUUAAUUCCUCAACUUUCAAAUUUUCUCUUGAAUCUCCAUUUCUCGAUACUUGAAUGAAUUCCCCAAAUUUUCUUUAAUCAAUGGGAGAUAAUUCUAUUCACUAAUUCCUUCACUAGUUUUUAAUUUAUCAAAAUUACUUUCAUCCCAAGCAUAAAAUAAUCAUACUUUCCAAUCUAAUGAAAACAAGUAACCAUAAUUCCUCCCAUUUAACACACAACUUGUUCCAUAAAAUCAUCCUUUCAUGUGAGUAUUUCAUGAAAACUAUCAUUUUCCCAAAUUAUCUUCACUCAAGAAUCUAAUUAAAAAUCCUAGGGUUCACCAUAAAUGGUAUAACUCACCUUGAUAUAAACAAAUCUUCACAAAUCAAAAAUAUCGGCUUGACAUCAUACUCUUUUCUUAAAUCUGAAAAUUAAACCAACCAUAGAGAACCUUAGACAAUUUAAUAUAAAUUAUACUACAAAACAUUUACUUCUUUACCUCUUUUGAAGAAAUUGAACAAUGGAACAAACUUUUCUUCCCUCCUUUUUCCUUUUCUUUCUUCUUCCUUUUCUUUCUUCUUUUUCUUUCUUCUUUCUGCCGAUUUUUCUCUAUUUUUGCUCCAGCUCGUUCCCAGCUUCGUGUGUAUGUAAUUGGGUGAAAAAAGAAAUAGGUAAUUAGGUUUUAAUUGGUUUUAAAAUGAGCCACUAACCUAAAUUUGCAAAGAAAGUCCCUCUAAUUUCAUAUGCACUUCCUUAAGCCCUUAUCUUUCAAUAUUAGAAAAGUAAAUCCAUAACUUUAAAAUUUAUCCAUCUUAGCCCUCAAAAUAUUUUCAAUUUUUAAAAUAACCCCAAAAAAAUAAUUUACUUCAUUAAUGUUCUCAUUGGACUUUGACUUUGAAAAUUCAACUAUUGAGUUUUGAUUAGAUAAAAUGGGUUGUAAUAAUCUUACCUCCUUAAAAGAAUUUCGUUCUCGAAAUUCAACUAAAAACUUACUAGAUAAUGAAUAGAUGAGGAUAUUGAGCACACAUUUGAUCCUCAUUCUCCCAUGUGCCUCUUCUACCGCAUGAUUCUUCUGAGUACCUUUAUAAAUGAAAUUGUCUUGUUUCACUGAAUUUGCAUCUUUCUAUCUAGAAUUCUCAUUGGUUCUACUAUACAAGUCAAAUUCUCUUUCAACUGAACUGGUUGAGAUUCCAGAACAUGAGAAUGAUCUACAAUGUAAUUACAAAGCAUGGAAACAUGAAGAACAUCAUUGAUCCUGGAUAAUUCAGCUGGCAAAUCUAAUCGAUACGCAACUGGACCUAUCAAUCCAAUAAUCUCAUAUGACCCAAUGUAUUAUGGACUCAACAUUUCUUGUUUACCAAAUCUCAAAAUCCCUUUCCAAGGUGACAAUUUUAGAAAAACUUUAUCUCUAACCGCAAAUUCAAGAUCUUCUUGUGUCUAUUUGCAUAACUUUUCUGUCUAUCCUGCGUUGCUUUCAAAUUUUCUUUGAUCAAUUUCAUAUUUUCUGAAGUUAUCUGAACCAAUCCAGGGCCUAUUUUUCCUUAUCAGUUUCAUCCUAGCAAACUGGUGUUCUACACUUCACACCAAACUUCAAAAGAAGACAUUUCUAUAUUGGAGUGGUAACUAUUAUUGUAAGCAACUCCAUCUACAACAAUUGAGCAUUCCAGCUACCUUAGAACUCUAAAACACACAUUCUUAAUAUACUCUCAAGAAUCUGUAUGAUCCUCUUUGACUGGCCAUCUAUUUGAGAAUGAAAAGCUGCAUUGAACUGUAGUUUAGUACUUAUGGCUUCCUCCAUACUAGGCCAAAAUUUAAAUGUAAAGCGAGGAUCUUAUCAGAUUCCAUAGAUAAUGGAGUACUAUAUAAGCUCACUAUCUCAUCCUCAAAAUUCAAUUAGCUAAGAUUCGAACAUGUAAAGAUAUAAAGCACGCAAUUGAUCUUCACUUGCCGUAAUUAUAUUGAAUGAUUUCUCUAGUAACAUUUCACCAAACACAUUUUCAUUCUUUCAUAUCUUACACCUUAGAUUUUUCUAAAUUAAGUUCUCUUCAACUUCACUAAUAAUUUGAAAGCAUACGAUAAAUCUGACAUUUCUGACAUCCACUUACUAGCAGUAGAAAUAAACAAUACAUUCUUAAAUACCAGAUAAACUUAUUAUAAACACAAUCCUUGAACAAUUGGACCCAAGUUUAAAAUAAUAUCUCAAAGACCAACAUAUGAU